rnacentral:rRNA from 1 species
UGGAAGGGAAACGCUUGAAGUCAGACUUGCUUGCCGAGCAAUCGGUUUGCAGGCCAGCAUCAGUUUUCCGGGAUGGAUAAUGGUAGAGAGAAGGUAGCAGUUUCGGCUGUGUUAUAGCUCUCUGCUGGAUACAUCUUGGGGGACUGAGGAACGCAGUGUGCCUUUUGGCGGGGGUUUCGACCUCUUCACACUUAGGAUGCUGGUGGAAUGGCUUUAAACGACCCGUCUUGAAACACGG